rnacentral:lncRNA from 1 species
CGGAACCGUCCCUUCGAAUCCUGCGCACUGCCGCCUCCAGAUAUUUUGGCAUUAAAUGAGCGCGUGCCGGAGUCUUUUCGAAUUGGAGCGGUACGAGGGGACGCUUCGAAAAUUCCGUAGGUACACUGGCCUAGGUACGGCGCAAUUAUGAUCCUGCCAACCGUCAGCCGCUUUUAGCCGUCUGCCAGGGGGAGUGGGACACGUGUU